ACAGGAAAGGGAGCAGGGGUCAUCUGCUCUGGUGUCUCUCACCCUUUAGCCCUGUAUCUCGCAUUUCAAUCGCAAUGACAUCAGUUGAGAUCAUUUUGAUGGCUAACCUUAGUAUCGUCCCUUUUGGAAACUAAGUUGAAUGAUUGGGCACCAAGUGGCACAGCACCGUGAGAACUUACAGAACACUGUGAAGCUUUUGCUUGAGCAUUAAUUCCAUUUUUUUACUGUCUCUUACAUUGAAACGACUGUAGAAGAAAAGUUUGGCUUCAUGGAGCCUUUGACUCAGUCAGUCCAAGGCCAGAAGGAGAGCUGGGAACAGCUGGGAACUGCCACACCGAAGGCCCAUCGGCGCAACUCUAGUGCCAGCAAUGUGGCCAGCUCCCACGGGGGACAGGAUUCCUGCCGCCUGACUCUUGUAGCAUGAUACCCAGUGGACUCCAGUGGCACCCAGUUAGCAACCUGCCCCUGAGAUAGGGCUGAGAUGUUUCAGGGGGCCCAAGUGUGGGCUGACCCUCAAAGUCAAUUCCAAGGGUCAUAAGAAAUCUGUGUGUAAAAUAGUCUGGGUCCAUUCCAUGACUAAUAAUCCUCAGAAAUCACGCAUGUUCCGGUGACUAGAAACGUUAUCUGGGAAGAGGGAAGUGGCACCUGGGAGACCCAUGAGCACUUGGGACCUGACCAUUCAUUGAACUCUGCUUGCUGAGCUUACUACACUGCGGUCUGAAUCUGACCCAUGAGAGCCCAGGCUGGACCCUCUCACAGCUGACCUACCCCAGGCUGGACCCUCUCACAGCUGACCUACCCGAGGCUGGACCCUCUCACAGCUGACCUACCCCAUCGAGCUGUCAAUGCUGUCGGUGGAGCACUUGAUACUUGGAGACCUCAUGGACCAGCUGAAGGGCCAGAAAUCCAAUACGUCAAGAAGUUUGAGUCCGGUGCCAAGGGCACGCAGUAGAGAGAGGAGCAGAAGCUGGAGGCCUGUGGCACCAAGUUCAGUGCCACUGAGUUUGUCUUCUAACCAGCACCAUGACCAGCAGCUCCUGGGAUGGUGAAGUACUCGCCUGGACCUGGGUAGUAUGUUACUCCACGGCACAACCUGACCUGUCACGGCAUGCACCCUUGCUGUCUUAUGCAGAGACAAUAUGGUGACCCUGUGGAAGGAGUUGAUGGACAGGAAGUGGGUGUACACCGGUGAUGUCAGCAGGGGCUGGGGUUCUGUGUUAUAGAGUCGGCAGAGCCAGGCAGAGGCAGGCUUUGAAUGCCCGUGUGUCAGUCGCAGGACUAACCUGACAAAUGAGAAGAAGAGCUCUCAACUGCACCAAGAAUGCUUUCCCAGGAACAGUAGCCAAGGUUCACAAUGUAAGCCCUCGGCUUCCCGUUCCUGCCUCUGUGCUGUUUGCUGCCAUGCCUCUGCUCCUCCAGCAUGGACUCUAACCCUCUAGGAACUAACCCAAGACCACCAGCCCAGAGAUGGCACCGCCCACAAGGAGCCCUUCCCUUUGAUCACCAACCGAGAAAAUGCCUUACAGCUGGAUCUCAUGGAGGCAGUUCUUCAACUGAAGCUCCUUUCUCUGUGAUAACUUGAGCCCGUGUCAAGUUGACACACAAAACCAUCCAGGACAGUGUGUAUGCGUUUCAGGGCUGGCUGCUCGGUAUUGGAUCGCCAGUUGGUGUGCUCCUCCCGG